GGGGCAAAGAGCAGGGAGAACCCUGCUCAGUUCUGUCUAGCCCGACUGGGACGUGGAAAGGCUAAUCCGAGCCCCACUUCUGCCACUCAGUUGCUGGGCCUCAGUUUCCCUGGCUGUACGGAGAAGGAGAAAACAAGAUGGAACCCAGUGACUGGCCACCAUGGACACAUGCAAGGGAGAAGGAGAAGUCCCCAGUAGGAAAAGGAAAGGCAUGCAGCAAGAAGCUCAAAAUCUACAAGCCAGGAAGAGAGCCCUCACCAGAAACGGAAACAGCUGGCACUUUGAUCUUGGACUUCCCAGGCCUCCAGAACGGUGAGAAAUAAGUGUCUGUUGUUUAAGCCUAUAGUCAGCCCAAGCUGACUAAGAAACAUGGCCGCCCAGAAUUAAGGCUUUAUUUUUCAGCAUCUUCUGCAGUGAACUGCAUCUUCUGUGGCCACAUGAAUAAGUUCAGGCUAAUAAGUUACAAGCAGAAUUAAAGUAUGGUAGCUUCUAGAAACCUUUCUUAGAGGACAGCUGGUAUAUGGCCUUUGCAUCCCUUCCUCCUUGUCACUCUUUCUAUCCUACUGCUUGGAAUGUGCUGUGGAGCUGGAGCUCUUGCUGCCUUCUUAGACUGUGAGGUAAUACGGACCACACUGUAGGGAUGAUUAAGAAGUAAGCUAGAAGGAGUUUGAGACCCUGAGGACUUGAAGGAAUAGAGCUCCUACCACAGUCCCAGAUUGCCUAUGCUUCAGUCUCUACACAGGACAGAGAAAUAAACUGCCAUCUGGUUUAAACAGUGCUUCUGUGAGACUCUAUUAUUUGCAGUUAAGCCUAAUCCUUGCUGAUAC
rnacentral:lncRNA from 1 species